rnacentral:rRNA from 1 species
CUUGCUACCUGACCUAGCGGCGGACGGGUGAGUAAUGCUUAGGAAUCUGCCUAUUAGUGGGGGACAACAUUCCGAAAGGAAUGCUAAUACCGCAUACGCCCUACGGGGGAAAGCAGGGGAUCUUCGGACCUUGCGCUAAUAGAUGAGCCUAAGUCAGAUUAGCUAGUUGGUGGGGUAAAGGCCUACCAAGGCGACGAUCUGUAGCGGGUCUGAGAGGAUGAUCCGCCACACUGGGACUGAGACACGGCCCAGACUCCUACGGGAGGCAGCAGUGGGGAAUAUUGGACAAUGGGCGAAAGCCUGAUCCAGCCAUGCCGCGUGUGUGAAGAAGGCCUUUUGGUUGUAAAGCACUUUAAGCGAGGAGGAGGCUACUUAGAUUAAUACUCUAGGAUAGUGGACGUUACUCGCAGAAUAAGCACCGGCUAACUCUGUGCCAGCAGCCGCGGUAAUACAGAGGGUGCGAGCGUUAAUCGGAUUUACUGGGCGUAAAGCGUGCGUAGGCGGCUUCUUAAGUCGGAUGUGAAAUCCCUGAGCUUAACUUAGGAAUUGCAUUCGAUACUGGGAAGCUAGAGUAUGGGAGAGGAUGGUAGAAUUCCAGGUGUAGCGGUGAAAUGCGUAGAGAUCUGGAGGAAUACCGAUGGCGAAGGCAGCCAUCUGGCCUAAUACUGACGCUGAGGUACGAAAGCAUGGGGAGCAAACAGGAUUAGAUACCCUGGUAGUCCAUGCCGUAAACGAUGUCUACUAGCCGUUGGGGCCUUUGAGGCUUUAGUGGCGCAGCUAACGCGAUAAGUAGACCGCCUGGGGAGUACGGUCGCAAGACUAAAACUCAAAUGAAUUGACGGGGGCCCGCACAAGCGGUGGAGCAUGUGGUUUAAUUCGAUGCAACGCGAAGAACCUUACCUGGUCUUGACAUAGUAAGAACUUUCCAGAGAUGGAUUGGUGCCUUCGGGAACUUACAUACAGGUGCUGCAUGGCUGUCGUCAGCUCGUGUCGUGAGAUGUUGGGUUAAGUCCCGCAACGAGCGCAACCCUUUUCCUUAUUUGCCAGCGGGUUAAGCCGGGAACUUUAAGGAUACUGCCAGUGACAAACUGGAGGAAGGCGGGGACGACGUCAAGUCAUCAUGGCCCUUACGACCAGGGCUACACACGUGCUACAAUGGUCGGUACAAAGGGUUGCUACCUAGCGAUAGGAUGCUAAUCUCAAAAAGCCGAUCGUAGUCCGGAUUGGAGUCUGCAACUCGACUCCAUGAAGUCG